UGCUGGCUUCUCACGGCGCGUAAUAUCACGAUCCGCGCCGAACCGCGCCUUUUAAGUUACCGACUUCAAUCGGAUCGGACGCGCCUGCUCGAGCCAGCCCGUGCCACUUCGAGCCACCCCCUUCACACGGCGCGUGGCUCGAGCUGGUGCGGCGC